rnacentral:rRNA from 1 species
AGUGAACGCUGGCGGUAGGCCUAACACAUGCAAGUCGAACGGCAGCACAGUAAGAGCUUGCUCUUACGGGUGGCGAGUGGCGGACGGGUGAGGAAUACAUCGGAAUCUACUUUUUCGUGGGGGAUAACGUAGGGAAACUUACGCUAAUACCGCAUCCGACCUACGGUUGAAAGCAGGGGAUCUUCGGACCUUGCGCGAUUGAAUGAGCCGAUGUCGGAUUAGCUAGUUGGCGGGGUAAAGGCCCACCAAGGCGACGAUCCGUAGCUGGUCUGAGAGGAGGAUCAGCCACAAUGGAACUGAGACACGGGCCAGACUCCUACGGGAGGCAGAAGUGGGGAAUAUUGGAAAAUGGGGGCAAGCCUGAACCAGCCAUACCGCGUGGGUGAAGAAGGCCUGCGGGUGGUAAAGCCCUUUUGUUGGGAAAGAAAAGCAGCAGGUUAAUACCCCGCUGUUCUGACGGUACCCAAAGAAUAAGCACCGGCUAACUUCGU